rnacentral:rRNA from 1 species
UACAGAGGGUGCAAGCGUUGUUCGGAAUUACUGGGCGUAAAGCGCGUGUAGGCGGCGGCGUAAGUCGAAUGUGAAAGCCCUUGGCUUAACCAAGGAAGUGCAUUCGAUACUGUGUCGCUUGAGGACUGGAGAGGAGACUGGAAUUUACGGUGUAGCGGUGAAAUGCGUAGAUAUCGUAAGGAAGACCAGUGGCGAAGGCGGGUCUCUGGACAGUUCCUGACGCUGAGGCACGAAGGUCAGGGGAGCAAACGGG